AGACCCGAAACCCGGUGAUCUAGCCAUGGGCAGGUUGAAGGUUGGGUAACACUAACUGGAGGACCGAACCGACUAAUGUUGAAAAAUUAGCGGAUGACCUGUGGCUGGGGGUGAAAGGCCAAUCAAACCGGGAGAUAGCUGGUUCUCCCCGAAAGCUAUUUAGGUAGCGCCUCGUGAAUUCAUCUCCGGGGGUAGAGCACUGUUUCGGCUAGGGGGCCAUCCCGGCUUACCAACCCGAUGCAAACUGCGAAUACCGGAGAAUGUUAUCACGGGAGACACACGGCGGGUGCUAACGUCCGUCGUGAAGAGGGAAACAACCCAGACCGCCAGCUAAGGUCCCAAAGUCAUGGUUAAGUGGGAAACGAUGUGGGAAGGCCCAGACAGCCAGGAUGUUGGCUUAGAAGCAGCCAUCAUUUAAAGAAAGCGUAAUAGCUCACUGGUCGAGUCGGCCUGCGCGGAAGAUGUAACGGGGCUAAACCAUGCACCGAAGCUGCGGCAGCGACGCUGAUGCGUUGUUGGGUAGGGGAGCGUUCUGUAAGCCUG
rnacentral:rRNA from 19 species